CCUACGGGCGGCAGCAGUGAGGAAUAUUGGUCAAUGGUCGGGAGACUGAACCAGCCAAGCCGCGUGAGGGAGGAAGGUACAGAGUAUCGUAAACCUCUUUUGUCAGGGAACAAAGGCGGGGACGUGUCCCCGGAUGAGUGUACCUGAAGAAAAAGCAUCGGCUAACUCCGUGCCAGCAGCCGCGGUAAUACGGAGGAUGCGAGCGUUAUCCGGAUUUAUGGGGUUUAAAGGGUGCGCAGGCGGUCUGUUAAGUCAGCGGUCAAAGCCCGGGGCUCAACCCCGGCCCGCCGUUGAAACUGGCAGUCUCGAGUUGGAGAGAAGUAUGCGGAAUGCGCGGUGUAGCGGUGAAAUGCAUAGAUAUCGCGCAGAACUCCGAUUGCGAAGGCAGCAUGCCGGCUCCACACUGACGCUGAGGCACGAAAGCGUGGGUAUCGAACAGGAUCAGAUACCCUUGUAGUC
rnacentral:rRNA from 1 species